GUCAGUUAGCUUUAAUAUGACCAUUAGAAUAAGUUUAGACCUCUCAAGUGUCAAUUGUGUUCAGGUAUUAUACAAGGAUAAUUUGAAAUAUUUUUAUUUUCGUGAGAAAAGUGUCAUUGUUAGGAUGAGAGAUAGCUUGGUGAAAGCUUGCAUUGGUUGCUCGGGCACUGGGAAACUGUUUCUGUCUGGAGUGUGCUUGUAUGCAGCCUGUGGGAAAAGAGCUGAAAACCUAGUCUCUGCUUGCUAACCUGGCGGGCAGAUGCCACGGUGGAGAGAAACCUGGCAUCCAGAAGAUGAAGACCUAGCACAAUUCAAGUCAUGUCUCAGAGACCUGCAUCACCUGUAAGGUAUGAGAUUCCCAGCAGGUGCCUCUGAACUCACAUGGGAUUCUGAAGUUGCUGCAAACGUGGAUAGGAUCUCCAGAGGGGUGGGCUCCCGAAAGAUGUGCUUCUUGACCCCUCAGAGACAGGCACUCCUUCUGUCACCCAGGCUGAAGUGCAGCAGCCUGAUCAUAGCUCACUGCAGCCUUGAAUUCUUGGACUCAAGUGAUGCUUCCACUCCCGCCUCCCAAGUAGCUGGGACUACAGGCUCAUACCACCACACCUGACUGCUUUCUCUCUUUUAGAAAAGGUAUUUGUUAUCUUUUCUUUCAAUUUUAAUGAAAAUUUUAUACACAUAUAUGUAACCCAUCAGUUUAUACAAUUUGCUUGUAUAUGUUAUAAAAUGGACACUUGCUUCUGAAUUUGCAAAACAGUUCUGUUUGCUUAGCAUGAUUGCCAACAAUAUUUUUUAAUAUUUAACAGAUAGCCUACUCUCAUAUAGAGAUUUUAAAAAAUAUAUAAAAAUAAUUCCAAAAUUUAUUUUAUUUUUUGUUGCAAAUACAAAUAAUUUUGGAAGUCUCUUUUAAAAGCUAAAUUAAUGCCAUAAAAUACCCAAACUGUUACAAAGAACACUCCAUUGUAACACCCUGUGAUUUACUGAUAGCAAUGAAGAGACUAGAC
rnacentral:lncRNA from 1 species